GCUAGUUUAUGUAGUGUUAAUUAUGCCUAUAAUUAUUUAUUUUUCUUCUUCUCAGGUUAAAGUUUGGGAAAAAAGAAACCUAACGGCACAAACACACCCACGCACGCGCGAGUUGAUGUCAGGCGGCAGCUGCGGAAUCCUGGAGCUCCUCGCGCACAGUAAAUCUCACGUCACUGAUCGGAGGACACGUUACACUACCGCUCUCUGGCAGCGUCGAGUCAAACGCCGCUCUGUUUUCACUGUCGGGAGGCCUCCGGCUGCAUAUUUCUGUAAUUAGGCUUUUAUGCUCAGCAGUUCUGCAGCUGUGCUGACAUUUGGGUGUCGCCCCCCUGUUUCUCACGGUCCCUCUGCCAAUGCUGCUCGGCCGCUGGUCACCGGCCAAGACUGAGGUCCAUGUGUCAGAAUGAAGGGUAGCAUCUACACACUCCCAAAUGAGGAGCGUUUCAAAGCAUUUCUCCAGACGCACAGGAAGGUAGUUUGCACACAGCGGACUAUCAGAGAUGACCUGAUUAAAUAGAGUGGCCAAUAUCUGAGCAAGGUGCAGAGGUCUAUGGGGUGAGAAGGACUGUGGGAUACAUGUGCACUACAGUGAAAGUUAGUGUGCAUGUUCACACUUGUUCUAUAGGCCAGAUUGCAGACAUGUGCCAGAAUGAUGCCCAGCCUCACAGGCGACUGAACAGACAGAACACAUCACUCUGCUGGGAUCUGGCAGGCCUGCAAUAGCCCAGCAAUGAAUAUAUGGGCUAUUGAGUCCAGCCACACAAUGGCCACAGCUGAUGCGGUUGCCACAGAGACACGCCCACACAAAGCCCAGGAAUGAUGACAUAUGGUCCCAACCUGCCUGGUCAGAAGACCCCCAAUAGCCCUGACUGCAUUGGAUGACAAAACCCUCAAGCAGGCCAUUUAUCUGUGCCUACUCAUUUCAUGCUAAAAUAAACUUUUUAUAAAGUUUCUACAGCCCAUGCACAACGAGUAAAACAGAGGCCCCAAAGGCACCAUGUAAAGUGAAGAAUUCAUCAUUAAGUGAUUAACAAAGGCUUCUUUACCACCUGCUCCUACAUUUAUACGGACAUUACUGACAGCUUGCCUCUUUUAGAGUAUAAAGCAACAGCAAUGUAAAGAUCUGAUAUGCUAGUGGGAUCGUUUUUUCUUUAUUUAAUACAUCUCACACAGUCAUUUGACCAAAACUGUGACCACCAAGCAUUAGAAAAUAUUCACUGCAGCUGUA